CGACUCUUGCACAUCUACGUCUUAGGUUUGCGCCAAUUCGUGGUAAGCUAGGGUCAAUGAGCUUAUAGGUGUUAUAAAGACUCGCUGGUGUUUGUCUCCUUGAGGCAUACGGCUUAAUCAAAACUCUCAAAGUUUGACCUCAAAUCAGGUAGGAAUACCCGCUGAACUUAAGCAUAUCAAUAAGCGGAGGAAAAGAAACCAACCGGGAUUGCCUUAGUAACGGCGAGUGAAGCGGCAAAAGCUCAAAUUUGAAAUCUGGCGUCUUCGACGUCCGAGUUGUAAUUUGAAGAAGGCAACUUUGUAGCUGGUCCUUGUCUAUGUUCCUUGGAACAGGACGUCAUAGAGGGUGAGAAUCCCGUGUGGCGAGGAUCCCAGUUAUUUGUAAAGUGCUUUCGACGAGUCGAGUUGUUUGGGAAUGCAGCUCUAAGUGGGUGGUAAAUUCCAUCUAAAGCUAAAUAUUGGCGAGAGACCGAUAGCGAACAAGUACAGUGAUGGAAAGAUGAAAAGAACUUUGAAAAGAGAGUGAAAAAGUACGUGAAAUUGUUGAAAGGGAAGGGCAUUUGAUCAGACAUGGCGUUUGCUUCGGCUUUCGCUGGGCCAGCAUCAGUUUUAGCGGUUGGAUAAAUCCUCGGGAAUGUGGCUCUGCUUCGGUAGAGUGUUAUAGCCCGUGGGAAUACAGCCAGCUGGGACUGAGGAUUGCGACUUUUGUCAAGGAUGCUGGCGUAAUGGUUAAAUGCCGCCCGUCUUGAAACACGGACCAAGGAGUCUAACGUCUAUGCGAGUGUUUGGGUGUAAAACCCGUACGCGUAAUGAAAGUGAACGUAGGUGAGGGCCCGCAAGGGUGCAUCAUCGACCGAUCCUGAUGUCUUCGGAUGGAUUUGAGUAAGAGCAUAGCUGUUGGGACCCGAAAGAUGGUGAACUAUGCCU
rnacentral:rRNA from 1 species